UGGCUGCCGAGGUUGUUCCCUCCAUAAUACACUUUUCUCACCACGACUAGACUAACUUCGUAGCCUGACUGCAUAGACGGUUUCCUUGCCUGGACGUGUCUGCCUAGCCUGUUUAUCUAGUUCACUUGGCUUAUUAUUAGAAAAAUGAGGCUGAGCUAGUCAAAAGUUUACUUUCAUUAUUGACUUGUUCAUGUGCACUAACAUCAUACAGUUGCAAGAAAAAGUAUGUGA